rnacentral:rRNA from 1 species
AAUCAACGCUGGCGGCGUGCCUCAGACAUGCAAGUCGAACGAUUAAAGCUCUCUUCGGAGAGUGUAUAGAGUGGCGCACGGGUGAGUAACACGUAAGUAAUCUACCCUCGAGUGGGGAAUAACAACCGGAAACGGUUGCUAAUACCGCAUAAUGCAGCGGCACCGCAAGGUGACAGUUGUUAAAGAUUUAUCGCUUGAGGAGGAGCUUGCGGCAGAUUAGCUAGUUGGUAGGGUAACGGCUUACCAAGGCUACGAUCUGUAACCGGUCUAAGAGGACGGUCGGUCACACUGACACUGAAUAACGGGUCAGACUCCUACGGGAGGCAGCAGUCGGGAAUUUUGGGCAAUGGGCGAAAGCCUGACCCAGCAACGCCGCGUGAAGGAUGAAGUAUUUCGGUAUGUAAACUUCGAAGAAUAGGAAGAUUAAUGACGGUACUAUUUAUAAGGUCCGGCUAACUACGUG